rnacentral:rRNA from 1 species
GACGAACGCUGGCGGCAUGCCUAAUACAUGCAAGUCGAGCGAACAGAUGAAGUGCUUGCACUUCUGACGUUAGCGGCGAACGGGUGAGUAACACGUAGGGAAUCUACCUAUAAGCGGGGGAUAACAUUCGGAAACGGGUGCUAAUACCGCAUAAUAUCUUCUUCCGCAUGGAAGAAGAUUGAAAGACGGCUCUGCUGUCACUUAUAGAUGACCUUGCGGUGCAUUAGUUAGUUGGUGGGGUAACGGCCUACCAAGACGAUGAUGCAUAGCCGACCUGAGAGGGUGAUCGGCCACAUUGGGACUGAGACACGGCCCAAACUCCUACGGGAGGUAGCAGUAGGGAAUCUUCCGCAAUGGGCGAAAGCCUGACGGAGCAAUGCCGCGUGAGUGAAGAAGGCCUUCGGGUCGUAAAACUCUGUUAUAAGAGAAGAACAAAUUGUAGAGUAACUGCUACAGUCUUGACGGUAUCUUAUCAGAAAGCCACGGCUAACUACGUGCCAGCCGCCGCCGUAA